UACGUAGGGGGCAAGCGUUGUCCGGAUUCAUUGGGCGUAAAGAGCUCGUAGGCGGUUCAGCAAGUCGGGUGUGAAACCUCCAGGCUCAACCUGGAGACGCCACCCGAUACUGCUGUGACUUGAGUCCGGUAGGGGACCACGGAAUUCCUGGUGUAGCGGUGAAAUGCGCAGAUAUCAGGAGGAACACCGGUGGCGAAGGCGGGUCUCUGGGCAACUACUGACGCUGAGGAGCGAAAGCGUGGGGAGCGAACAGG
rnacentral:rRNA from 1 species